rnacentral:rRNA from 1 species
UACGGGGGGGGCAAGCGUUGUUCGGAAUUACUGGGCGUAAAGGGCUCGUAGGCGGUUUGUCGCGUCGGGAGUGAAAACCUUGGGCUUAACUCAGGGCUUGCUUUCGAUACGGGCAGACUAGAAGGCAGGAGAGGGAAGCGGAAUUCCCGGUGUAGUGGUGAAAUGCGUAGAUAUCGGGAGGAACACCAGUGGCGAAGGCGGGUCUCUGGGCCGAAACUGACGCUGAGGAGCGAAAGCGUGGGGAGCAAACAGG